rnacentral:rRNA from 1 species
ACCCAAAAAAGACAGUCUCAGUUCGGAUUGAAGGCUGAAAUUCGCCUUCAUGAAGCCGGAAUUGCUAGUAAUGGCAGGUCAGCAUACUGCCGUGAAUACGUUCCCGGGCCUUGUACACACCGCCCGUCACACCAUGAGAGUCGGAAAUGCCCGAAGUCUGUGACCCAACCUGAGAGGGAGGGAGCAGCCGAAGGCAGGUCUGAUGACUGGGGUGAAGUCGUAACAAGGUACC